UGCCAGCCGCCGCGGUAAUACGGAGGGUGCAAGCGUUAUCCGGAUUUAUUGGGUUUAAAGGGUGCGCAGGCGGAAUAAUAAGUCAGUGGUGAAAUCCUACAGCUCAACUGUAGAACUGCCAUUGAUACUGUUAUUCUUGAGUACAGUUGAAGUGGGCGGAAUGUAUCAUGUAGUGGUGAAAUGCAUAGAGAUGAUACAGAACUCCGAUAGCGAAGGCAGCUCACUAAGCUACGAUUGACGCUGAGGCACGAAAGCGUGGGGAGCGAACAGGAUUAGAUA
rnacentral:rRNA from 1 species